rnacentral:rRNA from 1 species
AUUGAACGCUGGCGGCAGGCUUAACACAUGCAAGUCGAGCGGAGAUGAGGUGCUUGCACCCUAUCUUAGCGGCGGACGGGUGAGUAAUGCUUAGGAAUCUGCCUAUUAGUGGGGGACAACAUUCCGAAAGGGAUGCUAAUACCGCAUACGCCCUACGGGGGAAAGCAGGGGAUCUUCGGACCUUGCGCUAAUAGAUGAGCCUAAGUCGGAUUAGCUAGUUGGUGGGGUAAAGGCCUACCAAGGCGACGAUCUGUAGCGGGUCUGAGAGGAUGAUCCGCCACACUGGGACUGAGACACGGCCCAGACUCCUACGGGAGGCAGCAGUGGGGAAUAUUGGACAAUGGGCGGAAGCCUGAUCCAGCCAUGCCGCGUGUGUGAAGAAGGCCUUUUGGUUGUAAAGCACUUUAAGCGAGGAGGAGGCUACUAGUACUAAUACUACUGGAUAGUGGACGUUACUCGCAGAAUAAGCACCGGCUAACUCUGUGCCAGCCGCCGCGGUAAUAC